rnacentral:rRNA from 1 species
CCUACGGGAGGCAGCAGUGGGGGAUAUUGGACAAUGGGGGGAACCCUGAUCCAGCGACGCCGCGGGAGUGAAGAAGUAUUUCGGUAUGUAAAACUCUGUCAGCAGGGGAGAAAGAAAUGCCGGUACCUGACCAAGAAGCCCCGGCUAACUACGUGCCAGCAGCCGAGGUAAUACGUAGGGGGCAAGCGUUAUCCGGAAUUACUGGGUGUAAAGGGAGCGUAGAGGGGUAAGUAAGUCUGGAGUGAAAGGCCGGGGCCCAACCCCGGGACUGCGGUGGAAACUAUUGAACUUGAGUGCAGGAGAGGUAUGCGGAAUGCGUAGUGUAGCGGUGAAAUGCGUAGAUAUUAGGAGGAACACCAGUGGCGAAGGCGGCUUACUGGACUGUAACUGACGUUGAGGCUCGAAAGCGUGGGGAGCGAACAGGAUUAGAUACCCCUGUAGUC